GACGAACGCUGGCGGCGUGCUUAACACAUGCAAGUCGAACGGAAAGGCCCUGCUUUUGUGGGGUGCUCGAGUGGCGAACGGGUGAGUAACACGUGAGUAACCUGCCCUUGACUUUGGGAUAACUUCAGGAAACUGGGGCUAAUACCGGAUAGGAGCUCCUGCUGCCUGGUGGGGGUUGGAAAGUUUCGGCGGUUGGGGAUGGACUCGCGGCUUAUCAGCUUGUUGGUGGGGUAGUGGCUUACCAAGGCUUUGACGGGUAGCCGGCCUGAGAGGGUGACCGGCCACAUUGGGACUGAGGUACGGCCCAGACUCCUACGGGAGGCAGCAGUGGUGAAUAUUGCACAAUGGGCGGAAGCCUGAGGCAGCGACGCCGCGUGCGGUAUGACGGCCUUCGGGUUGUAAACCGCUUUCGCCUGUGACGAAGCGUAAGUGACGGUAAUGGGUAAAGAAGCACCGGCUAACUACGUG
rnacentral:rRNA from 1 species